CCUACGGGUCGCUGCAGUGGGGAAUAUUGCACAAUGGGGGAAACCCUGAUGCAGCGACGCCGCGUGAGUGAAGAAGUAUUUCGGUCUGUAAAGCUCUAUCAGCAGGGACAAAGAACGACGGUAACUGACUCAGAAGCCCCGGCUAACUACGUGCCAGCAGCCGAGGUAAUACAUAGGGGGCAAGCGUUAUCCGGAUUUACUGGGUGUAAAGGGAGGGUAGACGGCUGUGCAAGUCUGAAGUGAAAGCCCAGGGCUCAACCCUGGGACUGCUUUGGAAACUGUAGAGCUAGAGUGCUGGAGAGGUAAGUGGAAUUCCUAGUGUAGCGGUGAAAUGCGUAGAUAUUAGGAGGAACACCAGUGGCGAAGGCGGCUUACUGGACAGUAACUGACGUUGAGGCUCGAAAGCGUGGGGAGCAAACAGGAUUAGAUACCCUUGUAGUC
rnacentral:rRNA from 1 species